UUCAGUAUUAAAUCAGAUUAGUAUUCAGUAAGAUUAUAUGGUGGUGGUUGGUAUCGCUCAUGUCAGCUGGGUGUUCUGAAAUACUCUGAAUUGUGUUGCAUUGUGGAGGAGGAAACUGAAUGGCCUCAGAUAGAUAUGGUGUCCUUCGUUAACACGACUGGAGUCUGACUGCUUGUUUUUCAGGGAUUAUUUCGUACCCCUCUGCAUUCACAUCUUUGUCCCAGUGGUCUGUCUGCUUGCCAGUUGUACAUGUAAAUAAAGUUGUCAGUCUUUGUUUUUUGUUUUUUUGAAGAAGCUAAGUAAAUAAGUGAAGAUGGAAUCAUUCAUCUUCAGGUACAAAUAAAAACUCUGGUUAUUCUGAGAAGAGCUAGGACUGGAGUUAUAGGUGAUGAUACAAAGUACAUCCAAUGAAUAUUACUAUUAAAAAACACGGGACACCCCGUAGCCUUCACACGUCCUCUACGGACACCCCGUAGCCUUCACACGUCCUCUACUGGACACCCUAGCCUCACACGUCCUCUACUGGACACCCCGUAGCCUUCACACGUCCUCUACUAAACACCCCGUAGACGUCACACGUCCUCUACUAAACACCCCGUAGACGUCACACGUCCUCUACUAAACACCCCGUAGAGUCACACGUCCUCUACUAAACACCCCGUAGACGUCACACAUCCUCUACUAAACACCCCGUAGACGUCACACGUCCCUAGUAAACACCCCGUAGACUUAACACCCCGUAGACGUCACACGUCCUCUAGUAAACACCCUAGACUUCACACCCCGUAGACGUCACACGUCCUCUAGUAAACCCCCGUAGACUUCACACCCC
rnacentral:lncRNA from 1 species